GACAGAGGCCUCGAGCGUUAGGCGGAAUCACUGGGCUUAAAGCGUGUGUAGGCGGGCCCGUAAGUGUCUUGUGAAAUCCCCCGGCUCAACCGGGGAACGGCUGGGCAUACUGCGGUCUGGGCCGACUAGGGGCAGCCGGAACAAGCGGUGGAGCGGUGAAAUGCGUAGAUAUCGCUUUGGAACGCCGAAGGUGAAAAACAGGCUG
rnacentral:rRNA from 1 species